ensembl:lncRNA novel transcript
GAAAAACCACUUGCUCAGCUUCUCCUUGUAAAUUCCUGGUGAGUGCCUCCAGGCCUACUGCUGUGCUGUUUCUUUUUCUUCUUCCUGCUGCACUGAACCCCUGCCCUUUCAUUCUUGGGCCUGUGCUAAUUUCUGUGCAUUCCCAACUGUGAUUUUUCACCAAUUUAGGGGAACCUCCUCUGCCAGGGCCUGCUUCUCCCCAGCAGUGCUUGCAGGGGCCUGGGCUGGCUGGCAUCCCUGGGUCGAUGGGUGCUCCUCUCCCUGCAGGCUGGCCACUCAGUACUCCUUGUCCCUGGCCUCGCAGCCCACCUGGGAAGCCACAGUGACCAGCCACCAGGUGUGCCAUCGUGGAGGAAGUCCAGGUUGGAGAGGUGGUCUUCUGUAAGCAGGUCCAUCUCUCCACCCACUGAGGCCCCUUUCUGCCUGUGACAGCCCCACCUCGAGGGUCAUGGCACAGCCAUCAGCUGCAGCUCCCAGCAUGCUACUGCCACGCCCCGAGUGUCCGUCUGGGCACUGGUCCAUGACCUGUUGUCUUUCUGUAUCUACUUUCUGCAGCCCCUCACUGAGGAGGCCUCCUGGGUUUGUCCAGUGCCUGCUAUUAAAGCUUUGCUCCAAGUUCAA